AUCAUUCAGAAAUGGUAUACAGGAAAAUGACCUAUGAAUUGACAGAUAAUGUGGCUAAGUUUGUCUGUCAUUUCUUUAGGCCAAUAUUCUGUAUGACUGUGCUACUUCAA
rnacentral:miRNA from 1 species